GAUCACUUAUGACCAGGAUUUCAAGGCUGCAGUGAGCUGUGAUUGCAUCACUGCACUCCAGCCUGGUGACAGAGCGAGGCCCUGUCUCAAAAAAAUUUUUCAGUGUUUUUCUGGGCUGGACGUGGUGGCUCAUUCCUGUAAUUCCAGCGCUUUGGGAGGCUGAGGUGGGUGGAUUGCUUGAGCCCAGGAGUUUAAGACCAGCUGGGCAACAUGGCAAACCUCAUCUCUACAAAAAAUAAAAUAAAAAAUUAGCCGGGCAUAGUGGUGCACACCUGUACUAACAGCUACGGGAGAGGCUGAGGUGGGAGGAUCACCUGAGCCCGGGAGGUUGAGGCUGCAGUGAGCCGUGAUUGCACUACUGCACUCUAGUCUGGGCGAUACAGCAAGACCCUGUCUCAAAAAAAAAAAAGUCACCCAGUGGGGUCAGCAGAGCCCCAAGAGUCUUCUUCCCUCCCAGCUCCCCUGUACACCAGCCCCAGCUCUGCAGGUAGCCGGGGGCCCAGACAACUUCCUGGGGACCCCCAGCCUUCCCUCUGCCCCUUUUUCUACCAGUUUUGCUGCCCCUCCUUCAAGAUUCAUGUCCAGAGGGGGUGAGAUCUGCACUUAUACAGCCCCCUCCUCUGUAAUGAGGGAGCCAAGUCAGCCCAGGUUAUUCCAGAAGGGGCACCCUACCAGCCCCCCAGUCCCCAAGCUGCCCUGGGCCUGUAAAAGCAGGCAAAGGGACCCCUAGUAGAUCAUGUAGGUGUUACCUCUUAGUGGGUGCUGGAGGGGCCUGAAGUGCUUUCUUCCCCCAGGGUGGUAAGAGAAUGUCCUGGCAGUGACCUCAGGGCCCGCUGUCACUUCCGUUUUAAGAUACACCAGCUGGUAGGCUCAUUAGGAAGAGGACAAUAGGAGGCCCCUGUCCUCAGUCAGCUUUCUUCAAAGGUGUUUCCUUUAGCAACUGGGAGGCCUCCCUUCUCCAGAGCCAUGGGGACACCACCACCCAGCUCCUGGUUCCAUAGUCGAGGCUGCUGUAUGGCUCUGGCUAGCCCAUUCAGAGAGAGCCUCUCAAAGUACAAGGAAAAAAAUCAGUCCAAGAGCUGUGAACAAUUAGUGAGCCGAUUACAAUACCAAGACCACAGGCAGACCCGGAAGGCUAAGUGAGCCCAGGUGUAAAGUUCAAGCUUACUUUACUUCUGGGGCCACUUCCUGGCUGGUCUCUUUCCCUGGCCCUUAUCUUUCUCCUGGUCUGUCUUUUCUUCUCACCCCCUUUCUUUACUCUUUCCUCCUUCUCUCGCAUCGUACUCCACCCCCACUCCAGCUAUUAGACAGAAUCGCAAGAAUGUUAGGUUAUUCAUUUUAUUUAUUAUGUUUUCUUUUUUGUAAAAAUAGAGACAAGGUCUCACUAUGUGGCCCAGGCUGGUCUUGAACUCCUGGCCUCAAGCAAUCCUCGUGCCUUGGCCUCUUACAGUGCUGGGAUUACAGAUGUGAGCCACCAUGCCUGGCCCAUUUUAUUUACCUUAAAAAAAAUUAGGCUGGGCGCGGUGGCUCACACCUGUAAUUCCAGCACUUUGGGAGGCCAAGGUGGGCAGAUCACCUGAGGUCAGGAGUUUGAGACCAGCUACUCCGGAGGCUGAGACAGGAGAAUCGCUUGAAUCCAGGAGGUAGAGGUUGCAAUGAACUGAGAUGUGCCAUUGCAUGCCAGCCUGGGCAACAGAGCAAGACUGUCUCAAAAAAAAAAAAAAAAAAUUAUGUUUUCUGCUCCUGCUUCCUGCUUUGUAAGUCCAAUCAGUUUAACUGUUCAAGUGUCUUCCUUGCAAACCCCCAAGGACUCAAUGUGUGUGGCCUUUGACUGAUCCCCCCACCUCGUGCCCAGUGGUCCUCAGUUCCAGGUUUUCCCAUCUACCCUUCACCCACUGCUUAUGUUUAUAAAAACGGGGUAAAUCAAAUGUUUGUGACCCAGAUCUUAUUCUACAUGCAGUGGAAACAUGUAUGACUUCAGCUUUUUGGAAAAGCAGAACCUUUUUUCGUGGUUCAAGAAAUCAGAGUCUUCCCGAGAGGUCUUUCUGUAAAUCCAGAGCUGUAGAUGUUUCACUGUGUUCAGAGAGGGGCCCUUGUGCUGGGUGAAGUGGAUGGGGCACAGCAGGCAAUGGGUGAAAAGCAGGACAACCUGGGGCCCUGGGAGGACCAGGGAGGGCCCAUGGGCAAGGCGGUCCCAUGUCUUUGACUUGGUCCCAUGUCUUUGACUGUUCAUCAGCCGGCUGACUUUCUGUCCACCUGUUGUCUGCUCUGCCCAUCCAUCCAUAGUCCUUCCGCCCAUCUCUGCUGGUUGCUGCUGUGCUACUCAGCUGUGUCUGUCUGUCCACCUGACUGUCUGCUCUCUUUCAGGAUGCCUUCCGUGCCUUCCAUCAAGAUCUCAAUUUUGUGCGCAAGUUCCUACAGCCCCUGUUGAUUGGAGAGCUGGCUCCGGAAGAACCCAGCCAGGAUGGACCCCUGAAUGCGCAGCUGGUCGAGGACUUCCGAGCCCUGUACCAGGCAGCCGAGGACAUGAAGCUGUUUGAUGCCAGUCCCACCUUCUUUGCUUUCCUACUGGGCCACAUCCUGGCCAUGGAGGUGCUGGCCUGGCUCCUCAUCUACCUCCUGGGUCCUGGCUGGGUGCCCAGUGCCCUGGCUGCCUUCAUCCUGGCCAUCUCUCAGGCUCAGUCCUGGUGUCUGCAGCAUGACCUGGGCCAUGCCUCCAUCUUCAAGAAGUCCCGGUGGAACCACGUGGCCCAGAAGUUCGUGAUGGGGCAGCUAAAGGGCUUCUCCGCCCACUGGUGGAACUUCCGCCACUUCCAGCACCACGCCAAGCCCAACAUCUUCCACAAAGACCCAGACGUGACGGUGGCGCCCGUCUUCCUCCUGGGGGAGUCAUCCGUCGAGUAUGGCAAGAAGAAACGCAGAUACCUACCCUACAACCAGCAGCACCUGUACUUCUUCCUGAGUGAGUGUCCAUCUGCCCUUCUGGGGUGGGGGAGCGCCUGGGCCUGCACUGUCCUCCCUGCUGUCCUGGACCACUCCCAGGCACUUCCUGGGGCAGGGGCACGCCUGUCAAAUCUCCCUUAUCAUGGCACCCUCCCAGCCUCUGCAGUCUGUACACACUCUCCCAGCACCAUGCCUUUGCCCCAGCUGUCUCCUGUGCCUGGGACACCUUGCAGCCAUGGGCCAUCACAGCCCUGCUGGGAGCUUCCCCAAGCCCCAUGUAGAAUUUCUUCUUGCCCUCACUAGAGUGGUCUGGAGCCCUAGAGUCUUUGGGCAGUUGUUGGGGUGGACAGAGCGAGGACUCAAGGCUGGCCCUGACCUGCGGUGAAGGGUGGUGGGAGGUGGUGGGGUAAGGGCAGCCUGAGGAGGCUUGGACACAGGGUCGGGGGUGAUAUGGGGUCAUUCCAGCUGGAUGUGACCAGCACCAACGUCCCAGGGGCAUUCCUGGAGUAACAGAGCCCCUCACUCUGCUGCCCACCCACCUUGGCAGCCCAGCCCCACUCCUGAGUGCUCUCGUGCCCCUUCUUGCAGUCGGCCCACCGCUGCUCACCCUGGUGAACUUCGAAGUGGAAAAUCUGGCGUACAUGCUGGUGUGCAUGCAGUGGGCGGUGAGUGGGGUUGCCCAGGACCCCGGGCAUACGGCUGCCGUGGCAGGAGGUGGUACCUCGGGGGACAGUACCUGCCCAUGAAGGCAAACAGGGUGCACAUGUGCGUGCAACAGUGUGGCUCACAUGCGUGCGUGCAACAGCGUGGCUCACAUGUGUGCGCGCAGCAGGAGAGCGAGUGUGCCCGUGACUGUACGUGUGGGGUGGGGGGGUUGAGGAACGGGGGGUGUGUGGGUCUCUCUUGGUGAGGGUGUCUUCCCAGGAGGAGUUGCUGGGCUGACUCUGCCAGGCAUAUGUGUCUCUGGCAGGGUCUUCCCCAACACACCCUGCGUGACACCUUUGUCACUAAAAUCAGCCUCGUGAGCUGGCAGGGCAAGGACCCUAUUCCUUUACUCAACUGAGAAAACCAGAGAGGGUGGUGGCCUGUCCUGGGCUCUGAGGCAAAUCAGGCAGAAGGGUUGGAUGCCUGAGGUCCCCCUCCCACCCACCAGGCCUCCAGACCUCCGGGCACCUGGAGACCUCUCGGUAUCACCUCUGCUCUCCUCUGCAGGAUUUGCUGUGGGCCGCCAGCUUCUAUGCCCGCUUCUUCUUAUCCUACCUCCCCUUCUACGGCGUCCCUGGGGUGCUGCUCUUCUUUGUUGCUGUCAGGUAUGGCAGGGAGUGGCGAGGUCACACACAGACGACAGGUGACCCCACCGCACCCCCCCCCCCACCAGAGCGUCCCUUUCCCCGUCUGCAGAGUGGGGCCAGUGGUACUGCCUCCCUGGCUUGCUGGCAGAAUCACAUAAACACAAGCGUGACAGGAGCCCAGGGUCGGUGGGUUUAGGGAGCAUGGCCUGGCUUGUAAGUGGCCCCGUGGGUGUCGGAGCUGCUCUGGGCUCAGCCUCACAGUGGACACUGCUCCAUUCAGAUUCUUUAAGCACUGGCAAGGGGGCGAUGACCACAAUCCUAUUGUACAGAUAAGGAAGUCAAGGCCACUUGGGGACAGCUGCUCUCCAGCCUCCACUCAGGGUGCCUAAGUGGUGAGCUGGACCUAGGGCAGUGCCCGAGCCUCCCCACAGGGUCCUGGAAAGCCACUGGUUCGUGUGGAUCACACAGAUGAACCACAUCCCCAAGGAGAUCGGCCAUGAGAAGCACCGGGACUGGGUCAGCUCUCAGCUGGCAGCCACCUGCAACGUGGAACCUUCGCUUUUCACCAACUGGUUCAGCGGGCACCUCAACUUCCAGAUCGAGCACCACCUCUUCCCCAGGAUGCCGAGACACAACUACAGCCGGGUGGCCCCACUGGUCAAGUCGCUGUGUGCCAAGCACGGCCUCAGCUACGAAGUGAAGCCCUUCCUCACCGCGCUGGUGGACAUUGUCAGGUCCCUGAAGAAGUCUGGUGACAUCUGGCUGGACGCCUACCUCCAUCAGUGAAGGCAACACCCAGGCGGGCAGAGAAGGGCUCAGGGCACCAGCAACCAAGCCAGUCCCCGGCGGGAUCGAUACCCCCACCCCUCCAUUGGCCAGCCUGGGGGUGCCCUGCCUGCCCUCCUGGUACUGUUGUCUUCCCCUCAGCCCCUCGCAUGUGUAUUCAGCAGCCCUCCGGCCUUGGCUCUGGGCCUGAUGGGACAGGGGUAGAGGGAAGGUGAGCGUAGCACAUUUUCCUAGAGCAAGAAUUGGGGGAAAGCUGUUAUUUUUAUAUUAAAAUACAUUCAGAUGUAUU
rnacentral:sRNA from 1 species